rnacentral:rRNA from 1 species
GACGAACGCUGGCGGCGUGCUUAACACAUGCAAGUCGAACGGAAAGGCCCUGCUUUUGUGGGGUGCUCGAGUGGCGAACGGGUGAGUAGCACGUGAGUAACCUGCCCUUGACUUUGGGAUAACUUCAGGAAACUGGGGCUAAUACCGGAUAGGAGCUCCUGCUGCAUGGUGGGGGUUGGAAAGUUUCGGCGGUUGGGGAUGGACUCGCGGCUUAUCAGCUUGUUGGUGGGGUAGUGGCUUACCAAGGCUUUGACGGGUAGCCGGCCUGAGAGGGUGACCGGCCACAUUGGGACUGAGAUACGCCCCAGACUCCUACGGGAGGCAGCAGUGGGGAAUAUUGCACAAUGGGCGGAAGCCUGAUGCAGCAACGCCGCGUGCGGGAUGACGGCCUUCGGGUUGUAAACCGCUUUCGCCUGUGACGAAGCGUGAGUGACGGUAAUGGGUAAAGAAGCACCGGCUAACUACGUG